UUGCUUUAGCAGUACAUGUCCUAAAAUUAGAACCAUACAGAGAAGAUUAGCAUGGCCCCUGCACAAGGAUGACACACAAAUGCAUGAGGCAUUCCAUAUUUAA